AUGGCAUCUUCCAUUGGUCCGUCACAGAACGAGCAGGUUGCAUUAUGUGGCCAGCCCUUCUUGGCUAGCACGUCGGCAGUGUUGCAACGUCCAAGCAUUGCCAACCACGCAAACAGUUUACACUUGCCAGGCGCGUCUGUGUUUCAGAUAAAGUCAGCGAAGCCACUCCUGGUGCAUCCUUCAAACUGGAUCAGGUAUGCCGACCGGGCCGUGUAUAUCCCGUCGGAGGUCCAUCUCCACCGCACCUGGUCAUGCGCCGUCGAUAGGACAGUGCCGCUGAUCCCUUCCCAUAGUGCCAAGAACUCUCUGGUUGCCUGUAGCGGUAGGCGUUGCUUGAGGUGUCUCAUCCAUCUGCCUUCCACAAGCGCUUGGGCGACCGUUAAGUUCUUCCUAGUGCAAUGCUCGAACAGCACCGGGAAAGCAUGUUGGAGGCAGAUACCUUUGAACCAUGGUUCCUUCCAGAAGAGUAUCCGCUCACCAUUGCCAAGCUGGAAGUCGACCGAGGCAUUGAAAAGGGCUAUGACAGUGCGGUCAAUUGGUAGUUGUAGCCCGUCCCAAGCCUUGUUGCCAUCGGUCCAGGAGCGCCAGAGCCAUCUCAUCCGCAAUGCCCUACUAUGUGCCAGCACGUUGGUGAUGCCGAGCUCCUUAGGCCUACAAAUAGUUCUCCAGCUAACCAAACACUUGCCCCCCGAUGUCGCCUCGGUGCCCUCCCAGAGAAAACCACGCCGCACCCUGUCAAUCAGCUUCGCAAGCCAAGUUGGCAUGAUCAACGCGAUCAUCUGUAAGAUCGGCAUGGCCGAGAGCACCGUUUUGACCAGGUCCAAUCUCCCGUCCAUGGUAAGCAAGACCAUCUUCCAUCCCUUCAUUCUGCAAACUAGCUUGUCACAUAUUGGUUGGAGGUCAUUCUUCUUCAGCUUUGAAUCUGUCAGGGGCAUGCCGAGGUAG
rnacentral:rRNA from 1 species